rnacentral:pre_miRNA from 1 species
GAGACACCCUUAUGGAGCAGGACUUGGUUCACUGCGGCUUUGGUGCUCACUGAGUCUGCCCCUUGAAUGUGUCGCU